CAAGGCCUUGGAAUUAAUGGAUGCAUGUUUGGAAGAUUCAUGUGUUGCAUCACAGGUAUUACGAUGCAUACAAGUAGGUUUACUAUGUGUUCAGAACCUUCCAGCAGACAGACCAGCAAUGUCAUCAGUGAUUUUCAUGUUGGGUAAUGAGGGAGCAACAUUGCCUCAACCUAAACAUCCUGGUUUCUUCACGGAAAGAAGUUCAGUGGAUACAGAUACAAUGUCAGGAAAGAUAGAGUUACAUUCAGAAAAUGAAGUAACCAUCUCAAAGCUAAAAGGUAGAUGGAGAAUUCAAACAUCUGCUUAGUGAAUUAGUUAUGCAGGUGCCAGCUUCUCUGACUGAAACGGCUUGCAAAGGUUCCUCUGUUGCAGCUCAGGGCACUGAAAUCUGCAACUUAAGACUCACUAGUAGAAUUUCUAAAUUCAGAUUCCCUCUGGAUCUGGUUGGUAGUAAGCAGAAGAACAUGUAUUCUACAGUCACUUUAUAUUCCACUUGUUGUAGAAGCCCAAUUGGGGCUACAGCCGAACGCCCAUUAAAAGCCCAAACCAAUUGAGCCUAGAGGAUGAGUGACAAAGCCCAAUGCAAUCUCAAGGCAAGGUGUUUGUACCUUGCAUUUGAUCCACUGAGCUUUAAAAGCAAAGGUGAGGCCAUUGAGCUCUAUGUCAUGCUAAAGUAAUAGCGUUGUAAAAUUAAAUACAUAGCAAGAUUAAUGGUUUUUCUUCAAAAAAUUUUUAUGUAAAUGUUUACAUUCAUGUUUAUUUUCAUAAUAAUAAUUAUUAAAUUAAUAUAAUAAUUUUAAAAUAAUAAAAUAUAAAAAUAAAGAGAUAAAGUUAAAUAUUAUGAUUUUCUUUUUGUCUUAAACAUAUCUUUAUAUUUAAAUAUUAUAUAUGUUCUAUUUAAUAAAUUUUAAAAUAUUAAUAUAUUUAUAUUUAUCUUUAUAAUUUAAUUUGGUAUGUGCAAUAUAAAACUGAAAUAUUAUUAAAAUUUGUAAUUAUAUAUUUUAAAUUUCUUAUAAUUUUUUUUUUGUAUAAUCUAUAAAUUAUAAAAUUAUUAUUUUACCAGUUUUCGUGAAUGUAACAACCUACAUCUCACAACUUUAAAACAUAUUUACAAAUUAAGAACUCAUACAUAUAUAGCGCCAAGAUAAAGGAGAAAGUUUCUAACACUAUAUAAGCAUAAACUCUUUUUAACUACAAAGCUUUAAAAAUUUUUGCGAAACAUUAACUUGAAUGCUAGACAGUUGCAAACCUUAGUGGGAGUUUUCAAAUUUUUUAAGAGAGAGAAUCAUGGUUUAAAUAUUGGUAAAUAUGGAAUAUUUGUACCUAAAUUUUACAGAUAUAUUGGAAAUAUCGGUGAAUAUUUUGACAAAAAUAUUGAUAAGACAAAAAUUAUUCAAAAUUUAUAAAAAUAUUUUUAAAAAUUAAAAAAAUGAUAAAAUAAAUAAAAAUACACAUGUUAAAGUUAUUUUCUAAACAUAAUUGAUAUAGAUAUGAUCAAAUAGAAAAAUAUCGAUAAGUAAGGAUAAAUCAAUCUUAAUAAUUUAUUAUUUAUCCAAUCAAAUUAAUUUUAAUUUAUAAAAUAUUAGAAUUUCAUUAUUUUUGAAUAAAUUUAUAUUUUUAAUAUUUUAAACACAUUCCUAUGCGAAAAUAUCAGAUACUUUUUAAAUAACAAUGAAAAGUUCUUACAAAAAAUAUAUCUUAAUAAGAAAAUAUCAAAGACUUACAUAUUAUUUCGAAAAGAAAUUUAAAACACUUUCCAACAUAUAAAGUGCUUUAUUCAACCAAUAGUAACAAAGACGAGCUUUGACUUGGACUGAAAGCCUGGCCAAGUAAAAAACUGAAACCUUGUCCUCUUGAUGCUGUGUCUUGGACAAAUUCCAGGAAAAACCUACAUUAGAGAAAUUUUAGUAUUUUUUAAAACUAGUGUAUAGAAGUCUUCCUUUCAUCUGUGAGAAGCGUCAAUGGAGACCCAUCUUUUCUUUGCCUUCUUUUGUGCCUGGAUUUGUCUCUCAGUUCCGUUGGAGUCCUGUAUUCCAGCUGAUUCCAUAAGGAUUGACCAACCCAUAGGCGAUGGUGAGACUUUAGUUUCCUCAGGCCAAAGCUUUGAACUAGGCUUCUUCUCUCCUGGCAGCUCCAAAAACAGGUACUUAGGAAUAUGGUACAAGAAUACACCCCGGAUAGUUGUAUGGGUUGCAAACAGAAACAACCCGAUCGCAGAUUUGUAUGGAGUUUUAACCAUCUUCAACAAUGGCGCACUUGUUCUUCUCAACCAGUCAAAGAGUGUAAUCUGGUCUCCCAAUUUGUCAAAGGUACCAGAAAAUCCAGUUGCACAGCUCCUGGAGACUGGAAAUCUUGUUCUCAGGGACAGUAGUAAUGAAAGUUCUGAAAGCUAUAUAUGGCAGAGCUUUGAUGAUCCAUCAGACACAAUGUUGCCAGGCAUGAAGGUGGGAUGGAACUUAAAGACUGGUCUACAACGAAAAUUGACAUCAUGGAAAAGUGCUGAUGACCCAUCCCUUGGAGACUUCUCCUACGGAUUUGAUAUUAAUGUGCUGCCUUAUGUGGUUCUCGGUGUGGGAUCAAGGAAAAUAGUCCGUUCCGGGCCAUGGAAUGGACUUGAAUUCAAUGGUGUUUAUGUGUUGGACAACUCGGUUUACAAAGCAGUUUUUGCUGCCAACAACGAUGAGGUAUAUGCCCUCUAUGAGUGUCACAACAAUAAGAUCCUUUCAAGACUAACAUUGAACCAUUCAGGUUUCAUCCAGCGUCUGGUAUUAAAAAAAGGGAGCUCUGAAUGGGAUGAAUUGUACUCAAUUCCCGGUGAACUUUGUGAAAAUUAUGGCCAUUGUGGUGCUAAUGGUAUCUGCAGAAUUGGCAAGCUGCAGACUUGUGAGUGUUUGACGGGUUUCACACCAAAAUCACAAGAAGAAUGGGACAUGUUUAAUACAUCAAGUGGAUGCACACGAAGAAUGCCUUUGGAUUGCCAAAUUGAAAAGGGAUUUGUAAAGGUUACAGGAGUGAAAUUGCCCGACUUGAUAGACUUUCAUGUGAUUAUGGAUGUGAGCCUUAGGGAAUGCAGGGUAUCGUGCUUGAACAAUUGUUCUUGUACAGCAUAUUCCUACUCAAAAGCAUAUGCCUACUCAAAUCCUAAUGGAAACGGUGGCUGUUUGAUGUGGUCUGGGGACCUGAUUGAUAUCAGAGAGUUAACUUCAGAAAAACAUGCGGAGGACAUCUAUAUCCGCAUGCACACUUCAGAGCUGGGUAAGACACUUGAUUUUCUGUAAAUCACUUUUUGAUUGUAAGCUAUUGGGGUUGUCUCCAAUAGCCUAAGCCCUAAGUUAUCCUGGUAAAUCAAGAUGAAGAAUUACUUAGCUUCCAAAGUCAGGGAUUCAAUUUCACAAGAAGAUUAUAAUCUAGUUAAAACCAAGACCCUAUAUUAUAUUCCAGAAUAACCAUAGCUGUUAGGAUUCAGGUUAACUAAUGAUGAACUGACUUGUAAUAACCCUAACAAGCAGAAAGCAAAUAUCCAAUUCAUUUUCUGAAGAAACAGGGAAAUCUGGGGAAAUGGUUACUUCAUUCUUGUUACUGUCUGGUCCAGGGUUAAACACUUAUCAGAAGAAAAAACUAGUGAUCAUCCUUGUUAUAUCUACCUUUUCUGGAAUCCUCACCUUGGGCUUAGCAGUCUGGUUUCUAUUUCGGAAGAAGAGAACAAUGAGAACAGGUAUGCAUACUUAUCCACCUUGAUGAUUUUAUUGAAGGAACCAUGUGGUUGUGCUUUAAAAGUAGCUUCUAAAUUAUUUUCCCAUUUAACAGAUCAGGAAAGCAAGAAGGAGAAUUUAGAGUUACCUUUGUUUGACUUGCCCACCAUUGCAACUGCUACUAAAAACUUCUCCAACACCAAUAUGAUUGGAGCAGGUGGCUUUGGGUCUGUGUACAAGGUAAUAUGUGCCAUCUUAUGCAUCAGGAUAACCCAAAAAUGAUUUCAAAAGAAAGAAGAAGAGAAAAAUAAUUGCGUCUUGCACAUCAUAUUUUGCAGGGCAAUCUAUCCGGAGUAGCAGUAGCAGUGAAGAGAUUGUCCAAGAAUUCAGCACAGGGUGUGCAAGAGUUCAAGAAUGAAGUUGUUUUGAUUGCGAAACUUCAGCACAAGAAUCUUGUCAGGCUUUUGGGCUGCUGCAUUCAAGGAGAAGAAAGAAUAUUACUCUAUGAAUAUAUGCCCAACAAAAGCUUGGAUUAUUUUAUUUUCGGUUUGAGCUUCUUAUCCCUAUCUGUUAGAAUUAGUUUCAUUUUUUGAUCACCCAUAUUAUGCUCAGUCGUGUUCAACUCAAUUCACACAUCUAAGUAAUUAAUUACGCCUAAUAAAAAAAUUUUAUAAAGGUAGAUGUAUUGUGCAGAUCAAAUCAGAAGAGCAUUAUUGGCAUGGGAUAAGCGCUGCAAGAUUGUUACAGGGAUAGCACGAGGGCUUCUCUACCUCCAUCAAGACUCUAGAUUUCAAAUUAUUCACAGGGAUCUCAAGACGAGCAAUAUUUUACUGGAUGACAAUCUCAAUCCUAAAAUUUCAGACUUUGGCUUGGCAAGAAUUUUUGGAGAGAAUGAAAUGGAAACGAGAACAAAGAGAAUUGUUGGGACUUAGUAAGUUAUAAACCUUUAUAAUCUUAUAAAAUGAUAUUUAUCCCUUCAAAGAACUUACACUUGAAAAUGUUGGUGCAGUGGCUAUAUGUCCCCAGAGUAUGUGAUUGAUGGGCACUUUUCUGUCAAAUCAGAUGUCUUUAGCUUUGGUGUUCUUUUACUAGAGAUUGUUUGCGGUAAAAAGAACCGAGGGUUCUCUCAUCCAGAUCACCACCAUAACCUUCUGGGACAUGUAAGUAGAAAGAACGCAAUGGUGUUUUCUCUUUCUCUCCCUCUCUCAAUUUUUCUCUACUCUAGCUUUUUCUGGCUUUUGUGAAAGAUAAUAAAUAUGAUUUUUGCGCUAGGCAUGGCUGCUGUGGGAACAAAACAAGGCCUUGGAAUUAAUGGAUGCAUGUUUGGAAGAUUCAUGUGUUGCAUCGCAAGUAUUACGAUGCAUACAAGUAGGUUUACUAUGUGUUCAAAACCUUCCAGCAGACAGACCAGCAAUGUCAUCAGUGAUUUUCAUGUUGGGUAAUGAGGGAGCAACAUUGCCUCAACCUAAACAUCCUGGUUUCUUCACAGAAAGAUCUUCCGUGGAUACAGAUACAAUGUCAGGAAAGAUAGAGUUACAUUCAGAAAAUGCAGUAACCAUCUCAAUGCUAAAAGGUAGAUAAAGAAUUCAAACAUCUGCUUUGUGAAUUAUUUAUGCAGGUGCCAGCUUCUCUGACUAAAACGGCCUGCAAAGGUUCCUCUCUUGCGGCUCAGGGCACUGUAAUCUGCAACUUAAGACUCACUAGUAGAAUCUCUAAAUUCAGAUUCCCUCUGGAUCAGGUUGGUAAUAAGCAGAAGAACAUGUAUUCAAACAUCUGCAACUUAUGUGCUACUCUCUUUUUUUUUUUUUUGUGUCUCCUCAGGGUGCAUAGGACUUAUAAUUUGGUUCCAACCUUUUACUUUCAAUUAUCUCGAGAAUUUUUGAAGUUCUAAAGUCCUUUGAAAUAUCAAUAGGAAGUAAAGAUCAGACAAUAAAAACUAAUCAAAUAAGGCUUCUACUUGUGACUGUUAUAAAGCCAUAGGAUGAUGGCUUGCAAUAAUUUCAGGUAAAUAGGGGUAAGAAUUGAAAAUCAACAAAGACAAGUAGGAAUCAGAUGACUUCAUA
rnacentral:lncRNA from 1 species